ensembl:lncRNA
UUAUUUUGUCCGAACAAUGUUGGAACAAAUUUAUGCUUUGCUAUCUGUUUAGCCCAUUUUCUUGAACCGCAAACACCACACCAUGACUUAGAAGGAAGGGCCAUGACCAUACAGAAUGCUGCCGGUUUCACAUCGCAGAGUCUUAUAGGUUUUAAUGAUGUAGCGAAGUUUGAGAAGGUCUUAAACAUAAAAAUUGUGGUUUUUCACAGAUCUAGUGACGGUCGAUUAGAAAAGUAUAAAACGCAUGAAAAGCCACACCCCAAAACUGUUUUUCUGUAUCUACAUGAUAGUCAUUACUACAUGAUAAAGAAACUCACAGCAUUUAUUGGAUCAGAUUAUGUGUGUGAGUACUGUUAUGCAGGAUCUAAAAAUAGACAGAAUCAUGAAUGUAAAUUUGCAUGCUCUGUCUGCAAUGACAGUGAGUGUCACAGACAACCCAAAAACACAAUCCAUUGUCCCGACUGUUUGCGAUUUUGUAAAUCACAAUACUGUUUUAAUGCUCAUAAACGACCAGUUGGUGGUAACGUGUCGGGUAGAUCCCUUUGCGAUACUAUUAAAUACUGCAGUAAAUGCAGUAGACGUUAUUACAUCGCCUCAAGCAAUCCGCAACCCCACAAAUGUCCUGCCGAGCUUUGUCUGUAUUGCGGUGAUAAUGUAAGUCAUGGAGGGACUCAUGAAUGUUUCAUACAGCCUACACAACCUAAAGAGCUUGACACCCGUUACAUCUAUUAUGAUUUUGAAUCACGUAGUGAUAAUGGGAAACAUGUCGCGAAUUACGCUUCUGCCAUGACUUUUGAUGGGAAGAAAUAUGAAUUUAGGGGUGAAGACUGUGUGAAACAACUCAUCAAUAAAUUCAGGCAACCCAAAUUUAAAAAUUACACACUUGUAGCACACAACGCUUCAGGCUUUGAUAAUUUUUUAAUACUGGAGUAUUUUUGCAAAGUAGGUCUUAAACUUAAGAUCCUCAUGCUAGGCUGUAGACUACUCUUCAUGUUUGAUGAGAUGACCAAGCAGCGUUACAUUGACAGCUAUUCAUUUUUGCCUAUGGCUUUAGCGAAGACAUCUGCAGCAUUAAAUCUGACCACAGCUGAGAAGGGCUACUUUCCUCAUCUUUUCAAUAGGUUGGAGAAUCAGAGCUAUGUAGGUCCAUACCCCGCUAAGCAUUACUACGGUUAUAACAACAUGACAGACAGUGCUAGGACAAAAUUUGACCAGUGGUACGAUACUCUUGCAGGAAA